GGGAUAACACUGACGUUCAUGCCCGAAAGCGUGGGUAGCAAACAGGAUUAGAUACCNUGGUAGUCCACGCCCUAAACGGUGUCGAUUAGCUGUUGGGCAGCAUGACUGCUUAGUAGCGAAGCUAACGCGUGAAAUCGACCGCCUGGGGAGUACGGUCGCAAGAUUAAAACUCAAAGGAAUUGACGGGGACCCGCACAAGCGGUGGAUGAUGUGGAUUAAUUCGAUGCAACGCGAAGAACCUUACCUGGUCUUGACAUGUACGGAACCCUCCAGAGACGGAGGAGUGCCUUCGGGAGCCGUAACACAGGUGCUGCAUGGCUGUCGUCAGCUCGUGUCGUGAGAUGUUGGGUUAAGUCCCGCAACGAGCGCAACCCUUGUCAUUAGUUGCCAUCAUUAAGUUGGGCACUCUAAUGAGACUGCCGGUGACAAGCCGGAGGAAGGUGGGGAUGACGUCAAGUCCUCAUGGCCCUUAUGACCAGGGCUUCACACGUCAUACAAUGGUCGGUACAGAGGGUAGCCAAGCCGCGAGGCGGAGCCAAUCUCACAAAACCGAUCGUAGUCCGGAUUGCACUCUGCAACUCGAGUGCAUGAAGUCGGAAUCGCUAGUAAUCGCAGGUCAGCAUACUGCGGUGAAUACGUUCCCGGGUCUUGUNC
rnacentral:rRNA from 1 species